ACGCUCGACACCUACGGGAAGCAGCAGUGGGGAAUAUUGCACAAUGGGGGAAACCCUGAUGCAGCGACGCCGCGUGAGCGAAGAAGUAUUUCGGUAUGUAAAGCUCUAUCAGCAGGGAAGAAAAUGACGGUACCUGACUAAGAAGCCCCGGCUAACUACGUGCCAACAGCCGCGGUAAUACUGAGCGGGCGUGGCAAGGAC
rnacentral:rRNA from 1 species